rnacentral:rRNA from 1 species
CUGCUGCCUUCCGUAGGAGUUUGGGCCGUGUCUCAGUCCCAAUGUGGCCGUUCACCCUCUCAGGCCGGCUACUGAUCGUCGCCUUGGUGGGCCGUUACCCCGCCAACCAGCUAAUCAGACGCGGGUCCAUCCUAUACCACCGGAGUUUUUCACACCGGAGCAUGCGCUCCUGUGCGCUUAUGCGGUAUUAACAGUCGUUUCCAACUGUUAUCCCCCUGUAUAGGGCAGGUUACCCACGCGUUACUCACCCGUCCGCCACUAAACUAAACCAAA